GACGAACGCUGGCGGCGUGCUUAACACAUGCAAGUCGAACGGAAAGGCCCUGCUUUUGUGGGGUGCUCGAGUGGCGAACGUGUGAGUAACACGUGAGUAACCUGCCCUUGACUUUGGGAUAACUUCAGGAAACUGGGGCUAAUACCGGAUAGGAGCUCCUGCUGCAUGGCGGGGGUUGGAAAGUUUCGGCGGUUGGGGAUGGACUCGCGGCUUAUCAGCUUGUUGGUGGGGUAGUGGCUUACCAAGGCUUUGACGGGUAGCCGGCAUGAGAGGGUGACCGGCAAAAGUGGGACUGAGAUACGGCCCAGACUCGAACGGGAGGCAGCAGUGGGGAAUAUUGCACAAUGGGAGGAAGCCUGAUGCAGCAACGCAGCGUGCGGGAUGACGGCCUUCGGGUUGUAAAACGAUUUAGCAUGUGACGAAGAGUGAGUGACGGUAAUGGGUAAAGAAGCACCGGCUAACUACGUG
rnacentral:rRNA from 1 species